rnacentral:rRNA from 1 species
CCCUACCCUUCUGUGAACCUACCUAUCGUUGCUUCGGCGGACUCGCCCCAGCCCGGACGCGGACUGGACCAGCGGCCCGCCGGGGACCUCAAACUCUUGUAUUCCAGCAUCUUCUGAAUACGCCGCAAGGCAAAACAAAUGAAUCAAAACUUUCAACAACGGAUCUCUUGGCUCUGGCAUCGAUGAAGAACGCAGCGAAACGCGAUAAGUAAUGUGAAUUGCAGAAUCCAGUGAAUCAUCGAAUCUUUGAACGCACAUUGCGCCCGCCAGCAUUCUGGCGGGCAUGCCUGUUCGAGCGUCAUUUCAACCCUCGACCUCCCCUUGGGGAGGUCGGCGUUGGGGACCGGCAGCACACCGCCGGCCCUGAAAUGGAGUGGCGGCCCGUCCGCGGCGACCUCUGCGCAGUAAUACAGCUCGCACCGGAACCCCGACGCGGCCACGCCGUAAAACACCCAACUUCUGAACGUUGACCUCGAAUCAGGUAGGACUACCCGCUGAACUUAAGCAUAUCAAA